GAUGAAGAACGUAGCGAAAUGCGAUACUUGGUGUGAAUUGCAGAAUCCCGUGAACCAUCGAGUCUUUGAACGCAAGUUGCGCCCGAAGCCAUCAGGUUGAGUGCACGUCUGCCUGGGCGUCACAUAUCGUUGCCCAAUGCCUAUUGCAGUGCAAUAGGAAUUUCUAGGGCGAAUGAUGGCUUCCCGUGAGCGUUGUUGCCUCGCGGUUGGUUGAAAAUCGAGUCCUUGGUAGGGUGUGCCAUGGUAGAUGGUGGUCGAGUUAGAACGAUACCGAUCAUGUGCAUGCUCCCCAAAAUAUGGCCUCUAUGACCCACACGCGUCUUUUGACGCUCAUGACGAGACCUCAGGUCAGGCGGGGCUACCCGCUGAAUUUAAGCAUAUCAAUAAGCGGAGGA
rnacentral:misc_RNA from 1 species